GCUCUGCUCACCUGCACUGGAUCUGCAAUCACACUCCUGCCAGCCAUCAUCCAAUCACCACAGCCUACAAGAACCCUGCACCAACAUCCAGUCCCUGCUGGAUCGUUAUGCCUACAUGGACCCUUCAGCUACAAGCUCUGCCACCGUCUUCACUCUCCUGCCUGUUGACCACCGUCUGGAUCCCUCAGCACCCCAGGACCCCACCAGCUAUCCCCUCACCCCUGCAUUUCAACAAUAAACUUUGGGAAAGACAGUCAUAGUCUGCUUUUUGGGUUCUGCUGUAAAUACGUGACAAAGCUAUGACCAAAGUAUAAACGUUUUAAAAAUUAAUUCAGCACAUAGACGUCUGCCAUGUUGCCACCACUCAAAAAUGUACUGCCCCCCUCUUGCCACCCCAUAAAUAUUUUUCUAGAUCCGCCCCUGAGUUGAUUUAUAUAUCAUUAAUCAGUAUGAUACAGUGGGUCUUUGUAUAAAUAAUCAAUAUAAUACAGUAGAUUUAUAUAUCA